UACGGGGGGGGCAAGCGUUGUUCGGAAUCAUUGGGCGUAAAGGGCGCGUAGGUGGUCCGGUAUGUCUCUCGUGAAAGCCCACGGCUCACCCGUGGGACGUCGGGAGAAACUGCAGGACUUGAGGCUGGGAGGGGCUGGUGGAAUUCCCCGUGGUAGCGGUGAAAUGCGUAGAGAUGGGGGAGAACACUCGUGGCGGAAGGCGGCCGAGCUAGACCAGUUCUGACACUGAGGCGCGAUAGCGUGGGGAGCAAACAGG
rnacentral:rRNA from 1 species